rnacentral:rRNA from 1 species
GACGAACGCUGGCGGCGUGCCUGACACAUGCAAGUCGGACGGUUCUUGCACCUUCAAGCUUGCUUGCUGGUGCAGGGAUAGUGGCGGACGGGUGAGUAACGCGUGAACAUCUACCCAUUGGAGGGGGACAACCCGUCGAAAGGCGGGCUAAUACCGCGUAAGCCGUGAGGUGAGAGGCUGCCUAUUGGUGGCCGCCGAUGGAUGGGUUCGCGUCCUAUCAGCUGGUUGGUGGGGUAACGGCCUACCAAGGCGAAGACGGGUAGCCGGUCUGAGAGGAUGGCCGGCCACACUGGAACUGAGACACGGUCCAGACUCCUACGGGAGGCAGCAGUGGGGAAUAUUGGGCAAUGGGGGUAACCCUGACCCAGCGACGCCGCGUGAGGGACGAAGGUUUUCGGAUCGUAAACCUCUGUUGUACGGGAAGAAGGAAUUGACGGUACCGUACGAGAAAGCCCCGGCAAACUACGUGCCAGCAACCGCGGUAAUACGUCUACUG